rnacentral:rRNA from 1 species
GACGAACGCUGGCGGCGUGCUUAACACAUGCAAGUCGAACGGAAAGGCCCUGCUUUUUUGGGGUGCUCGAGUGGCGAACGGGUGAGUAACACGUGAGUAACCUGCCCUUGACUUUGGGAUAACUUCAGGAAACUGGGGCUAAUACCGGAUAGGAGCUCCUGCUGCAUUGUGGGGGUUGGAAAUUUUCGGCGGUUGGGGAUGGACUCGCGGCUUAUCAGCUUGUUGGUGGGGUAGUGGCUUACCAAGGCUUUGACGGGUAGCCGGCCUGAGAGGGUGACCGGCGACAUUGGGACUGAGAUACGGACCAGAGUCCUACGGGAGGCAGCAGUGGGGAAUAUUGCACAAUGGGAGGAAGCCUGAUGCAGCAACGCCGCGUGCGGGAUGACGGCUUUCGGGUUGUAAACCGCUUUCGCCUGUGACGAAGCGUGAGUGACGGUAAUGGGUAAAGAAGCACCGGCUAACUACGUG